rnacentral:misc_RNA from 1 species
AAGUCGUAACAAGGUAACCGUAGGUGAACCUGCGGUUGGAUCAUUAAUAAAAGAAGGACUUUAGAGUCCCCUUUAAACGCUAGUGCCUGGUAAAACAGGUCUAGUAAACCCUAUGUGAACCAUAUCUAGUGGGAAUGCUUUCGAGUACCCCACUAGCAUUUUAUACCCUGUUUUUAAACCAAGUCUUAUCGAAUGUAAAAAUUUGAAACAACUUUUGACAACGGAUCUCUUGGCUCUC